rnacentral:misc_RNA from 1 species
AGUACACCCUAGCAGUCUCUUUCUUCCUCCAUUUCUCCUCUAAAACCCUAAUUUCUCUCUAAAACCCUAAAAGCAGCUAUGGAGUUUUGGGGUGCUGAGGUGAAAAGUGGAGAGCCAUUAACUGUACAGCCUGGAGAUGGGAUGGUUUUGCAUCUUUCACAGGCAUCUCUAGGUGAGUUGAAGAAGGAUAAAUCAGAAAGUGCCUGCUUGUCAGUGAAUAUUGAUGGCAAGAAACUUGUUCUUGGGACACUCAACUCAGAGAAGGUGCCUCAACAGCAAUUUGACCUGGUUUUUGAUAAAGACUUUGAAUUAUCUCACAACUUGAAAAGUGGCAGUGUCUACUUUUUUGGAUACAAGGCAACUAACCCGUUUGAUGAGGAAGAGGAUGACGAAGAUGAUUAUGAUGAUUCUGAUGAGGAUAUCCCCCUCACUCUUGCCAACAGUGGUAAACCUGACCCUAAAGAGGCUGGGAAGUCUAACGCUGGAAAGGAUUCUGCUUCAGGAAAGCAGAAGGUGAGGAUUGUGGAGCCUACUAAAGAUGAUGAAGAUGAGAGCUCUGAUGAUGAUGGUUCUGACUUGGGAGAGGAUGAAGACGACUCUGAUGAGAGUGAGGAGGAGACACCAAAGAAGGCUGAGCCUGCAAAAAAGAGGAAGGCAGAUUCAGCUACAAAAACACCUGUCACUGAUAAAAAGGCAAAAUUGACAACACCUCAAAAAACUGAUGGCAAAAAAGGUGGUGUCCAUGUAGCAACACCGCACCCUUCUAAGCAGGCUAGUAAGACUCCAAAAUCAGCUGGAUCUCAUCACUGCAAGCCGUGCAACAGGAGUUUUGGUUCUGAAGGUGCUCUCGAAUCUCACUCGAAAGCUAAACACAGUGCUGGAAAGUAAAUAGACAUGGAGACAUUUAGUCUUUGUUUGGUUGUUACCUAUGAUCAGAAGAGAGCUUUUUUAGUCGUUUUUUUCCCCGUUUCGAUUUGGUUCAUCUGAUGUAAAGGAAAGAUGAGUUACAUCUAUUAUGAUCUAUCUCUAGGUCAAUCAUCUGUUUUGAUGUUUAAGACUUGUUAUGUUUUCAAUGAGAGUUUUGGAUUGAAUCAGAGAAUGUUAUUGCCUGUUGGUAUCUUGUUAUUUGGGAAAAAAAAAACUAAUGUUAACAUUACA